rnacentral:rRNA from 1 species
GUAUGUCUGUGGAUUGUAAACCUCUUUUCUCUAGGAAGAAGAUCUGACGGUACUAGAGGAAUCAGCAUCGGCUAACUCCGUGCCAGCAGCCGCGGUAAGACGGAGGAUGCAAGCGUUAUCCGGAAUUAUUGGGCGUAAAGCGUCCGUAGGCGGUUAGUUAAGUCAGUUGUUAAAGACUACAGCUCAACUGUGGGAGAGCAACUGAAACUGAUUGACUAGAGUAUGGUAGGGGUAGAGGGAAUUCCUAGUGUAGCGGUGAAAUGCGUAGAUAUUAGGAAGAACACCAGUGGCGAAGGCGCUCUGCUGGGCCAAGACUGACGCUGAUGGACGAAAGCUAGGGGAGCGAAAGGGAUUAGAUACCCCUGUAGUCCUAGCUGUAAACGAUGGAUACUAGGUGUUGUGCGUAUCGACCCGUGCAGUACCGCAGCAAACGCGUUAAGUAUCCCGCCUGGGGAGUACGCACGCAAGUGUGAAACUCAAAGGAAUUGACGGGGGCCCGCACAAGCGGUGGAGUAUGUGGUUUAAUUCGAUGCAACGCGAAGAACCUUACCAGGACUUGACAUCCCUUGAAUUUUCCAGAAAUGGAUUAGUGCCUUCGGGAGCAAGGAGACAGGUGGUGCAUGGCUGUCGUCAGCUCGUGUCGUGAGAUGUUGGGUUAAGUCCCGCAACGAGCGCAACCCACGUUUUCAGUUGCCAUCAUUCAGUUGGGCACUCUGGAGAGACUGCCGGGGACAACUCGGAGGAAGGUGUGGACGACGUCAAGUCAUCAUGCCCCUUACGUUCUGGGCUACACACGUACUACAAUGCAACGGACAAAGGGCAGCCAACUAGCGAUAGUGAGCUAAUCCCAUAAACCGUUGCCCAGUUCAGAUUGCAGGCUGCAACUCGCCUGCAUGAAGGAGGAAUCGCUAGUA